rnacentral:rRNA from 1 species
GUUUAGGACCUAUCAGCCUUCGACGGUAUGGUAUUGGGUUACCGUGGCAGUGACGGUUAACGGGGGAUUAGGGUUUGAUUCCGGAGAGGGAGCCUGAGAAACGGCUACCACAUCUAAGGAAGGCAGCAGGCGCGCAAAUUACCCAAUUCUAACAGCUUAAGAGAGGUAGUAACAAGAAAUAACAGUACAAGGCAGUUAAAAUGCUUUGUAAUUGGAAUGAUAGAAAUUUAAACAUUUUUUAAAGGAUCAAUUGGAGGGCAAGUCUGGUGCCAGCAGCCGCGGUAAUUCCAGCUUCAAUAGCGUAUAUUAAAAUUGUUGCAGUUAAAAAGCUCGUAGUUGAAAUUUUGCUAGAAAUAACCAAGCUGCUUUUAUUAAUAAAAGUGGUAUUUUGGUGUAUUACUAGCAAUAAUGUUCUAUAAAGUGUUUUUUACUUUAUUGUAAAAAACAACAUAUAGAAUUUUUACUUUGAGAAAAUUAGAGUGUUUCAAGCAAGCUAACGUUGUGAAUACUGCAGCAUGGAAUAAUAAAAUAGAAUUUUGGUUUUACAUUAUUGGUUUUAAGAACAAAAUUAAUGAUUGAUAGGGGCAGU